UCAGGGACUGGGGCUCAAAAGUAGAGCAUUUGCUUAACAUGCAGAAGUCCCAGGUUUAAUCCCAGGCUUCUUGAG
rnacentral:tRNA from 1 species